rnacentral:rRNA from 1 species
AUUGAACGCUGGCGGCAGGCCUAACACAUGCAAGUCGAGCGGAGCGGCGGACGGGUGAGUAAUGCCUAGGAAUCUGCCUGGUAGUGGGGGAUAACUACUGGAAACGGUAGCUAAUACCGCAUACUAUCAGAUGAGCCUAGGUCGGAUUAGCUAGUGGGUGGGGUAAAGGCCUACCAAGGCGACGAUCCGUAACUGGUCUGAGAGGAUGAUCAGUCACACUGGAACGGAGACACGGUCCCGACGCCUACGGGAGGAGGCAGUGAGGAGUAUUGUACAAUGGGCGAAAGCCUGAUCCAGCCAUGCCGCGUGUGUGAAGAAGGUCUUCGGAUUGUAAAGUACUUUCAGCGGGGAGGCGUUACCCGCAGAAGAAGCACCGGCUAACUCCGUGCCAGCAGCCGCGGUAAUAC